ACUUGAAACAAGUAAUAUUUACUUGUAUAUAGUAUGUAUUUUUCUGUGUGUACAAUUAUUGAUCUGUUUACGAUUUUAUUCAACAGCAAGUUUUCAGUUAAUGGUAGGAGACGUAAUACAAAUUUCGCAACCUACAAUUUCAAGGAUCAUUUUUCGGGUAUCGACUUUAUAAUAACAAGUCUUAUUAACCGAUAUGUAAAAAUGCCAACAUCUGAUGGAGCUCGAGCCGAAAAUAAACGUUUAUUUAAGGAGCUUGGAUAUGGUCCUGGAGCUAUAGGCCUUUCUUCUAUUGAUGGUGCAAUAGAUUGUACACAUAUUCGUCUGGUACAUACCAGAUUGCAUAAUAUCGAGGAGAUAUGUAGGAAUCGAAAAAGAUACUUUUCUUUGAAUGUUUAGGUUAUUGUUAGGUUAUUGUUGGCCCACGUACAGAAAUUGUAGAUAUAGUACCAGAAUGGCUAGGAUGUGAACACGAUAGCCGAAUAUUUCAAAAUUCACGUAUAUAUAUACGAUAUAGACAGCAUGAACAGGAUGGAAUGCUUGUUGGAGAUGCUGGAUAUCCUGCCUUACCAUUUUUGCUCACGCCAAUUAAUAAUCCUGUGACUGAUGAAGA